AGUGAACGCUGGCGGCGUGCCUAAUACAUGCAAGUUGAACGGAGUGGCGCACGGGUGUGUAAUGUAUAGCUAAUCUGCCCUACACUAGAGGACAACAGUUGGAAAAGACUGCUAAUACUCUAUAGUGUAGGAUGAGGCUAUAUUGUAUCAGCUAGUUGGUGAGGUAAUGGCUCACUAAGGCUAUGACGCAUAACUGGUCUGAGAGGAUGAUCAGUAAAACCGGAAGUGAGGCACCGGUCGGACUUCUUCGGGAGGGAGCAGUAGGGAAUAUUGCUCAAUGGGGGAAAGCCUGAAGCAGCAACGCCGCGUGGAGGAUGACAAUUUUCGGAGCGUAAACUCCUUUUGUUAGGGAAGCGGUACCUAACGAAUAAGCACCGGCUAACUCCGUGCCAGCAGCCGCGGUAAUAC
rnacentral:rRNA from 1 species